UAAUAAGUGUUUUAUGGCACUUUUUAAAUCCAUAUCCACCUUGUGUGCAAUGUCAGUCGAUCUUCUUCAUGGAGUUCGACCAAACAUCAACCUUUAUUUUUUAACUCUUUGUCUGAAAAAUAUUAUGAAUAAACAAUUCAAAAUA
rnacentral:misc_RNA from 1 species